UCUCUGUUCUUUAAUGUUCAGAAAAUUAAACAGAAGGUGUCUCACAGUUAAUAACAGGGAUGUUUCAGGCAGGCCCUUUCCUUCAGCCAUGACUUGUCAGAUAGGAGGAUACAAACUGCCUGCCCUGACGGGCACUCUCCUUCUUGCAAACAGCACCAGGUCUGUGUGGCUGGAGAAUUAGCCAAGUGCCCAAGGAUUACCAAUGCAGACGCCAUGAGUUAUGUCUGAAGAGAAUAAAUGGAUACCCAAGUUAGUCCUGCUGUCUUUUGAACAUCGCCCCGGGAGGAGAAAUGUAAUUGCCGACUUCCUGUCCAUUCACUGCAGGAGGAGAAGACAUCACCGACUGGAACGAGAGAUUGUAGCCAAACAGAGAAUUUUUUUUUGGAUAAGAAGAUGAAUCAGAGGACUGAACAUAAUGCUUUGGAAGAAGAGGAACCUCCUUUGAUAAUACCUGACCAGUUGUGCAAUAUUUUAGAACAGAGAGAAACUUCUACCUGACUUCGACUCAUGAAAACUGUGGUAAACCUUGUAAUGUGUUAACAUUAAAAGUUAGUUAGUGUAAUUUUUCAGAUACGGACAGGUUAAAGUUGCCUCAGAGUAAAAAAAGAACAAUACCUAUUAAAAAUCAACAUCUGUCCAAAGCAUCUGAGAUAUCAUAGUUUCUGCCUUUUUUAAAAUAAGAAAUAACCGUUGGAUAUCAUCUCAGAUCUGCCAUGAAGUAACUGCUUACCUUUAAGAGAAACCACUGCUGUGCCCCUAAAGCCCCAUACUUUAACUACAGCUCCACUAUGAAUUAAAUACACUUCCAAUUAGCUAAAAGAAGCAAAAGAGGAAUUUGAAAGUUAUUCCCCAUUGUAUAUCAUGCUGUAACUAUGUAUACAAGAUAGUUAUACAGGCCCAGUAGGAUUAGAAGUCAUAGGCAGGCCUUUUGCAUCUGGAAUGUGUUGAUGCCAAAUCUGUGAUCUCUCUACUACAUGCUUUUAAACAUUUUGUACUAGAGAAGAGCAAAUAUCUUCCAUUUGAAAACAUGGAGAAAUAGCCACCCACAUUAAUACAUGGGGAACAAAGCUUUGAAAAAUACCUCUGUCCUCCAACGUGGAAGAGUAUAUCUGCUCCCAACAGAAAAACUAACAAUUACUCCCAAAUAAAAUCACUGUUGCUUAAAUAUG